UUAAAUUGAAGAGUUUGAUCAUGGCUCAGAUUGAACGCUGGCGGCAGGCCUAACACAUGCAAGUCGAACGGUAACAGGAAGCAGCUUGCUGCUUUGCUGACGAGUGGCGGACGGGUGAGUAAUGUCUGGGAAACUGCCUGAUGGAGGGGGAUAACUACUGGAAACGGUGGCUAAUACCGCAUAACGUCGCAAGACCAAAGAGGGGGACCUUCGGGCCUCUUGCCAUCAGAUGUGCCCAGAUGGGAUUAGCUUGUUGGUGAGGUAACGGCUCACCAAGGCGACGAUCCCUAGCUGGUCUGAGAGGAUGACCAGCCACACUGGAACUGAGACACGGUCCAGACUCCUACGGGAGGCAGCAGUGGGGAAUAUUGCACAAUGGGCGCAAGCCUGAUGCAGCCAUGCCGCGUGUAUGAAGAAGGCCUUCGGGUUGUAAAGUACUUUCAGCGGGGAGGAAGGUGUUGUGGUUAAUAACCGCAGCAAUUGACGUUACCCGCAGAAGAAGCACCGGCUAACUCCGUGCCAGCAGCCGCGGUAAUACGGAGGGUGCAAGCGUUAAUCGGAAUUACUGGGCGUAAAGCGCACGCAGGCGGUCUGUCAAGUCGGAUGUGAAAUCCCCGGGCUCAACCUGGGAACUGCAUUCGAAACUGGCAGGCUUGAGUCUUGUAGAGGGGGGUAGAAUUCCAGGUGUAGCGGUGAAAUGCGUAGAGAUCUGGAGGAAUACCGGUGGCGAAGGCGGCCCCCUGGACAAAGACUGACGCUCAGGUGCGAAAGCGUGGGGAGCAAACAGGAUUAGAUACCCUGGUAGUCCACGCCGUAAACGAUGUCUACUUGGAGGUUGUGCCCUUGAGGCGUGGCUUCCGGAGCUAACGCGUUAAGUAGACCGCCUGGGGAGUACGGCCGCAAGGUUAAAACUCAAAUGAAUUGACGGGGGCCCGCACAAGCGGUGGAGCAUGUGGUUUAAUUCGAUGCAACGCGAAGAACCUUACCUGGUCUUGACAUCCACAGAACUUUCCAGAGAUGGAUUGGUGCCUUCGGGAACUGUGAGACAGGUGCUGCAUGGCUGUCGUCAGCUCGUGUUGUGAAAUGUUGGGUUAAGUCCCGCAACGAGCGCAACCCUUAUCCUUUGUUGCCAGCGGUUAGGCCGGGAACUCAAAGGAGACUGCCAGUGAUAAACUGGAGGAAGGUGGGGAUGACGUCAAGUCAUCAUGGCCCUUACGACCAGGGCUACACACGUGCUACAAUGGCGCAUACAAAGAGAAGCGACCUCGCGAGAGCAAGCGGACCUCAUAAAGUGCGUCGUAGUCCGGAUUGGAGUCUGCAACUCGACUCCAUGAAGUCGGAAUCGCUAGUAAUCGUGGAUCAGAAUGCCACGGUGAAUACGUUCCCGGGCCUUGUACACACCGCCCGUCACACCAUGGGAGUGGGUUGCAAAAGAAGUAGGUAGCUUAACCUUCGGGAGGGCGCUUACCACUUUGUGAUUCAUGACUGGGGUGAAGUCGUAACAAGGUAACCGUAGGGGAACCUGCGGUUGGAUCACCUCCUUACCUGAAAGAAGC
rnacentral:rRNA from 1 species